rnacentral:rRNA from 1 species
GACGAACGCUGGCGGCGUGCCUAAUACAUGCAAGUAGAACGCAGUUGCGAACGGGUGAGUAACGCGUGGGUAAGUGCAUAGUAGCGGGGGAUAACUAUUGGAACCGAUAGCUAAUACCGCAUACUACCAGAUGGACCUGCGGUGGAUUAGCUAGUGUGUGAGGUAACGGCCUACCAAGGCAACGAAACAUAGCCGAUCUGCGAGGGUGAACCGCCAAACUGGGAAUGAGGCACGGCCCAGACCCCUUCGGGAGGAAGCAGUAGGGAAUCUUCGGCCAUGGGGCGAAACCUGACCGAGCCACGCCGCGUGAGGGAAGAAGGUUUUCGGAUCGUAAAGCUCUGUUGUGAAGGAAGCGGUACUUAACCAGAAAGGGACGGCUAACUACGUGCCAGCAGCCGCGGUAAUAC